CCAAAUAUUCCUGUACCGAUGUGUAGUGCGAUGUGGGGACGGAGAAGGUUAGCUCAGCCAACUGUUGGAUAUGUUGGUUCAAGCCUGUAGUCGUGCCUGGUAGGUAAAUCCGCCGGGCUUAGAUGAGGGGUGAUAACGAGGCUGCUUGCAGCCGAAGUGAGUGAUACCCUGCUUCCAGGAAAAGCCACUAAGCUUCAGCUACACACGACCGUACCAAACCGACACUGGUGCGCGAGAUGAGUAUUCUAAGGCGCUUGAGAGAACUCAGGAGAAGGAACUCGGCAAAUUGACACCGUAACUUCGGAAGAAGGUGUGCCUUUAGUAGGUGAACCUGUACAAGGGGAGCCCAAUGAGGUUGCAAAAAAUCGGUGGCUGCGACUGUUUAAUAAAAACACAGCACUCUGCAAACACGAAAGUGGACGUAUAGGGUGUGACGCCUGCCCGGUGCUGGAAGAUUAAAUGAUGGGGUGCAAGCUCUUGAUUGAAGUCCCAGUAAACGGCGGCCGUAACAAUAACGGUCCUAAGGUAGCGAAAUUCCUUGUCGGGUAAGUUCCGACCUGCACGAAUGGCGUAACGAUGGCCACACUGUCUCCUCCUGAGACUCAGCGAAGUUGAAAUGUUUGUGAUGAUGCAAUCUCCCCGCGGAAAGACGGAAAGACCCCAUGAACCUUUACUGUAGCUUUGUAUUGGACUUUGAACAGAUCUGUGUAGGAUAGGUGGGAGGCUUUGAAGUGUGGUCGCUAGAUCGCAUGGAGCCAACGUUGUAAUACCACCCUGGUGUGUUUGAGGUUCUAACCUAGGCCCGUAAUCCGGGUCGGGGACAGUGCAUGGUAGGCAGUUUGACUGGGGCGGUCUCCUCCCAAGGCGUAACGGAGGAGUUCGAAGGUACGCUAGGUACGGUCGGACAUCGUGCUAAUAGUGCAAUGGCAUAAGCGUGCUUAACUGCGAGACUGACAAGUCGAGCAGAUGCGAAAGCAGGACAUAGUGAUCCGGUGGUUCUGUAUGGAAGGGCCAUCGCUCAACGGAUAAAAGGUACUCUGGGGAUAACAGGCUGAUACCGCCCAAGAGUUCAUAUCGACGGCGGUGUUUGGCACCUCGAUGUCGGCUCAUCUCAUCCUGGGGCUGUAGCCGGUCCCAAGGGUAUGGCUGUUCGCCAUUUAAAGAGGUACGUGAGCUGGGUUUAAAACGUCGUGAGACAGUUUGGUCCCUAUCUUCCGUGGGCGCUGCAGAUUUGAGGAAGCCUGCUCCUAGUACGAGAGGACCGGAGUGGACACACCUCUGGUGUAUCGGUUGUCACGCCAGUGGCAUUGCCGAGUAGCUAUGUGUGGAAGAGAUAACCGCUGAAAGCAUCUAAGCGGGAAACUCGUUUCAAGAUGAGAUCUGCCGGGGCCUUGAGCCCCCUAAAGAGUCGUUCAAGACCAGGACGUUGAUAGGUCGGGUGUGGAAGCGCAGUAAUGCGUUAAGCUAACCGAUACUAAUUGCUCGUGCGGCUUGAUC
rnacentral:rRNA from 1 species